rnacentral:lncRNA from 1 species
GACUGCAUCAAAUGACCAACGGUCUGAGUAUGAGGCACAUCAGGGGCAGAACCAGAGAAGAGAAAGUACGGUGAUGUGGCUGCCCAACAGGAGGUAUCUGACGGUCAGCUCACCCAGACAGCUUCCUCCAGCUCUGAAACAGAUCGACUGAGCACCAGAUGAAGUUGGCAUGGAUGGGAGAUGUGAUGUACAAGAGAAAAGCAAAAAUUACUUGAGUUAUCUCCCCGAAGUCAAAAGUAAUGGGACACGCAGACCCUCCUGA